GCUGAGGUGGCCCAGCCCGGUAAGGCGCGAGCCUGGAGAGCUCGUGGCGCUUUGCGCCUCGGGAGUUCGAAUCUCCCCCUCAGCGCCA
rnacentral:tRNA from 1 species